rnacentral:lncRNA from 1 species
GAGAUAGACAACAUAGGUUAUAAUUUAUAUUUACUAAAUUUAAUGUUUAAUUUUUUGUUUUUCUUUGUAAACCCCUUAUAAGUGUCCAUUGUUUGUAUAGGAUGGUGUACACAAUAUUGAUCCCAAAUUUUUUCAAGUCAGACGUAGAAUAAAUGUAAAAUCCGUUUUGUAAGAUGUUUUAGUUAAUGCUUGAGCAAUAAGAGUACCAAUUUCACAUUCACGUAGAUGUAAACCUAUGAGGUUGUGAAGGAAUGUAUGAAAUAGGUUGACAGACAUCAAAAUAUGUCGAUGAAGACGAAGUUGAAGAGUGAAAGGAAGAAAGGGAAUGAUUGAUGGUUAUUUUGUUCUUAUCUUGAAUGAUUUUUUAUUUUAUUAUUAUUAUUAUUAUUAUUAUUAUUAUUAUUAUUAUUAUUAUUAUUAUUAU